rnacentral:rRNA from 1 species
UACGGAGGGUGCAAGCGUUGUCCGGAUUUAUUGGGUUUAAAGGGUGCGUAGGCGGCUUUUUAAGUCCGGGGUGAAAGCCCGUUGCUCAACAACGGAACUGCCCUGGAAACUGGAGAGCUUGAGUACAGACGAGGUUGGCGGAAUGGAUGGUGUAGCGGUGAAAUGCAUAGAUACCAUCCAGAACCCCGAUUGCGAAGGCAGCUGACUAGGCUGUAACUGACGCUGAGGCACGAAAGCGUGGGGAGCGAACAGG